rnacentral:rRNA from 1 species
CCUACGGGGGGCAGCAGUGGGGAAUAUUGGACAAUGGGGGGAACCCUGAUCCAGCGACGCCGCGUGAGUGAAGAAGUAUUUCGGUAUGUAAAACUCUAUCAGCAGGGAAGAAAAUGACGGUACCUGACUAAGAAGCCCCGGCUAACUACGUGCAAGCAGCCGCGGUAAUACGUCGGGGGCAAGCGUUAUCCGGAUUUACUGGGUGUAAAGGGAGCGUAGACGGUGCAGCAAGUCUGAUGGGAAAGGUCGGGGCCCAACCCCCGGACUGCAGUUGAAACUGUUGAACUGGAGUACAGGAGAGGUAAGCGGAAUGCGUAGUGUAGCGGUGAAAUGCGUAGAUAUUACGCGGAACACCAGUGGCGAAGGCGGCGUACUGGACCGUAACUGACGUUGAGGCUCGAAAGCGUGGGUAGCAAACAGGAUUAGAUACCCUAGUAGUC